rnacentral:rRNA from 1 species
CAGAGGUGGCAAGCGUUGUUCGGAAUUACUGGGCGUAAAGGGCGCGUAGGCGGUCUCCUAAGUCUUGUGUGAAAUCCCUCGGCUCAACUGAGGAACUGCACGGGAUACUGGAUGACUUGAGUUCGGGAGAGGGAAGCGGAAUUCCGGGUGUAGCGGUGAAAUGCGUAGAUAUCCGGAGGAACACCGGUGGCGAAGGCGGCUUCCUGGACCGAUUACUGACGCUGAGGCGCGAAAGCUAGGGGAGCAAACGGG